GUUCUACUCCCUCCGUCUGGAAAUAUUUGUCAUCAAAAUGGAUACAAGGGGAUGUAUCUAGACGUAUUUUAGUUCUAGAUAUAUUGUUUUUGUUCAUUUUGAUGACAAGUAUUUUCGGACGGAUGAAGUAUUUA
rfam:Triticum urartu cultivar G1812 contig524070, whole genome shotgun sequence.